GACGAACGCUGGCGGCGUGCUUAACACAUGCAAGUCGAGCGGUAAGGCCCUUUCGGGGUACGACGAGCGGCGAACGGGUGAGUAACACGUGGGUGACCUGCCCUCAGCUCUGGGAUAAGCCUGGGAAACUGGGUCUAAUACCGGAUAUGACUCCAUGACGCAUGUUGUGGGGUGGAAAGCCUUGUGCGGCUGAGGAUGGGCCCGCGGCCUAUCAGCUUGUUGGUGGGGUGAGGCCUACCAAGGCGACGACGGGUAGCCGGCCUGAGAGGGCGACCGGCCACACUGGGACUGAGACACGGCCCAGACUCCUACGGGAGGCAGCAGUGGGGAAUCUUGCGCAAUGGGCGAAAGCCUGACGCAGCGACGCCGCGUGAGGGAUGACGGCC
rnacentral:rRNA from 1 species